CAGAGAAUAUGCGAAGAUCCAACUGACUGAGGUUUUUGGACCAUGGUUGACCAUGCUCACUGAAACCAUUGAAAGUCAAACUACUGCACCACCAACAGACCUGUCAAAAGUCUACCAGAGAUUUGUCUGCAGACCCAG